UUUUAUGAGAGUUUGAUCCUGGCUCAGGACGAACGCUGGCGGCGUGCCUAAUACAUGCAAGUCGAACGCUUCUUUUUCCACCGGAGCUUGCUCCACCGGAAAAAGAGGAGUGGCGAACGGGUGAGUAACACGUGGGUAACCUGCCCAUCAGAAGGGGAUAACACUUGGAAACAGGUGCUAAUACCGUAUAACAAUCGAAACCGCAUGGUUUUGAUUUGAAAGGCGCUUUCGGGU
rnacentral:rRNA from 1 species